GACGAACGCUGGCGGCGUGCCUAACACAUGCAAGUGGAGCGACGAACCAGGCUUCGGCCUGGGGCAGAGCCGCGAACGGGUGAGUAACACGUGGGUAACCUGCCCUGAUGAUUGGGACAACCCGAGGAAACUCGGGCUAAUACCAAAUGUGCCCUCCGACCAUAAGGUCGCUGGGGAAAGGAAGCUUCGGCCUCCGCAUCGGGAUGGGCCCGCGGCCCAUUAGCUUGUUGGUGAGGUAANGGCUCACCAAGGCAACGAUGGGUAGCUGGUCUGAGAGGACGAUCAGCCACACUGGGACUGAGACACGGCCCAGACUCCUACGGGAGGCAGCAGUGGGGAAUCUUGCGCAAUGCGCGAAAGCGUGACGCAGCAACGCCGC
rnacentral:rRNA from 1 species